AUUGAACGCUGGCGGCAGGCCUAACACAUGCAAGUCGAACGAGUGGCGGACGGGUGAGUAAUGUCUGGGAAACUGCCUGAUGGAGGGGGAUAACUAAUGGAAACGGUAGCUAAUACCGCAUACCAUCGGAUGUGCCCAGAUGGGAUUAGCUAGUAGGGGGGGUAACGGCUCACCUGGGCGACGAUCCCUCGCUGGUCUGAGAGGAUGACCAGCCACACUGGAACGGGGACACGGUCCAGACUCCUACGGGAGGCAGCAGUGGGGAAUAUUGGACAAUGGGCGCAAGCCUGAUGCAGCCAUGCCGCGUGUUUGAAGAAGGCCUUCGGGUUUUAAAGUACUUUCAGCGGGGAGGCGUUACCCGCAGAAGAAGCACCGGCUAACUCCGUGCCAGCAGCCGCGGUAAUUC
rnacentral:rRNA from 1 species